AAAUGCGAUACGUAGUGUGAAUUGCAGAAUUCAGUGAAUCAUCGAAUCUUUGAACGCACAUUGCGCCCUUUGGUAUUCCAAAGGGAAUGCCUGUUCGAGCGUCAUUUGUACCCUCAAGCUUUGCUUGGUGUUGGGCGUCUUUUUGUCUCUCCCCUUGUUGGGGGAGACUCGCCUUAAAACGAUUGGCAGCCGACCUACUGGUUUUCGGAGCGCAGCACAAAUUUGCGCCUUCCAAUCCACGGGGCGGCAUCCAGCAAGCCUUUGUUUUCUAUAACAAAUCCACAUUUUGACCUCGGAUCAGGUAGGGAUACCCGCUGAACUUAAGC
rnacentral:misc_RNA from 1 species